ACUUGUUCUGCCAUAUUAGCUUUGAAAUAUGGGGAGCAUUGCGCUUCUAACACUAUUUCUCGUUUCUUCUGCCAUCUACUUUACACUACAAAAAAUUUACUAAAAUCCAAAACCUCAUAUGAUUCUGUGAAACAGUUACACAGUUGUGUUCUUGGUUAAAUAAAUUCAAAGUCUAGGAUGAUGCAAGAUAAUUAUUUAUUGACGGAAAACAAACAUUCUAACUCAGUGCCAACUUGCUGAUUAAUUUCACAGACUCAGACAAGUCUCAGCAAUAGUGGUAUUUAACUGCCAAUGUCUUUACUCCACCAUGGCCCUACAUUCUCCAUUUCUCUGAGGAAGCCACAGAAUGGGUAGAACUGUAAUUUUCAUUCUGCUUUCCACCCCUACUUCCACUUGUCAUGUGGACCUGGUUGUGAGAAAAUCCAACAGAACUAGAGAAGUCAGCAUGGUUUCUUUCUGAAAGCCUUCUCAAAUUCAUGAAGACAGUGAAAGAGCUUGGAUUUGUCCCUUAGUAAAACAGUACACUUUGUCUUCACCCUGCUGCAGCAUCUGGAAACUCAACUAUAUUUUGCAAGAGAAACUUCAUCUAAUCUGCAAAGGGACAGGGAACUUUCUACAUGUUCCCGUGACAGAUGGUACAAGUAUCAGAGCACUGAAAAGUAAUUAAGACUGCGCUCAUAACUGCGUUUUCAAGUCAACAAAGGAACCAAAAACCUGAAAGGCUUCAGUCCAAGCAAAAUUUUUUUUAUUGAGGAAAACUAACCAAAAACUAUUUGGUUUCAUUUACUCUUUUGUAUUAGGAAUCACCUCAGGUUUAUGCAUGGGGACAAGUAAGCAAAUGAAAUUAUGCAUAUAAUUCACAAAACUAUUGAAAAAAAUGCUCUCUUCUGCAACUGUCCAGUCAUUUGGAGCAGAGCAACCUUAACCAGAGAAUGGUAAUUUUGAGCUGAUCAUUGGCUGAGAAGAUCUAAGCAUAACUGCUACUGCCUAAAUGAAUGCCCUGACCACUAAUCAACUGAUCAGAAUGAGACAGCACUCAGAAUUUAGAUCUCUCCAUCCUGAAUUCCACUGUCUGCUGUACUAAAGGAAGACAUUUUUGUACAUCUAGCCCAGAAAAUAUAUUCCAACUUAUUUAGUGAGCUUCACUUUGGAUCUCAAAGCAUAAAUUUUGCCUUGAGCUUAGUGUUCACUUAAAAAAAAUAAAAGCUCAGCUAUGAUGGUAAGAACGAUAAAAUUAUGAGGGUUAUGGACGGCUAAAGUGCCAUUAAAAAGAAAGGCACUUGAAAUGUAACAGUGACUAACACUGAGCUGAAAAGGUGUGAGAGCUUUACAUUAUUAUUAACCAUAGCUUUCUGAGGUUAUUUUGAGAACCUCUCUUAUUUGAAAAAUGUUUAACUAUUUUCAUGCGACUACCUAAAGACUAAGCCAAAUUCAAUUAUAAUAAUUUCAAGGUGCAACUGCUACUCAGGCAUAUCAUGGCCAGAUUUUGAAAUAUUUUGAUCUACUGUAUAAUUUGGCAUGGAAACAGAAAAUGUAAUUUAAUGAAAAUAAAUGAGCAAUAUUAAGUUUGAGUUCAAUGAAGCUAAUAGAUAGUAUAUAUUUAAUGUCACAACUAUGGAGAACAUUCACCAGUAAAGGGAUUAGGAGUUAUGCUAUAAAUAAUCUUUAUGCCACCAUCACAGCUCAUAGAUAAUGGAAAAAUAAUUUAAGCAGAUAUCAGGAAACCAGAGUACUUUUAGAUUCUUUCUUUUAUAACACAGAUUAUAAUAUUCUGGAUUGGGUAAACGUGAUAACUUAAAAUGAAGUCAGAUAUUUAUUUAAUGCAGGACCAGAAAAUCAUCAGCAAGAAAAAGAGGAAGAGGGAUAAGUACAAAACUAAUGUUCCUAUAUGGAUGAUAGAGCAAAGAGUUGAUGAAGUUCCCGAAUACUUACAUGUUGGAUGUAAAAUCAACACAGAAGUAAACGGGAUUGUAUUACAGAAUGUCUAACUAAAAGAGUAAGUUGAUAGAAACAAGGUUAAAGUUAGUUGUGAGAAAUACAAAGUGAUGUAUUAGAAGGCUGCUGACUAGGAGUUCUGAUGUCAGAAGCAGUCAAUUUUCUGCCUUAACGUUUGUUCCCAUAUUGGCAUAGGCACAACCAUAGCACACCAAUUCACUUCAGCAGCAGAUAUCAUGUCAGUACAAGUAGUAGCCCAUACUCAGAAGCUGAGAGCACUCUAGGCACCCAGAGUAACACCUCUCCUGCUGAUAAAUAAUGUUGGCACCCAAAGCAUUUUGGAGCAUGGUUUUUGACAUCUCUUGUUGCAAUUGUUUUGUCUUCUGUGAAACAGUUUUAUGCUAACUGGAAGAGGGACUGGAACUCAAGUCCUCUCUCAUAAGACAGAUGCACUGUUGCUAAUUUACAAGGCCAUAUUCACUCUUUCUACAGCUCAGUGAAUACCGAGUUACUGAAUAGUUUAUAUUAUCUUUAAUGACAAUUCAACAACUUCCUGGGAAUUACUAGCUGCAGACUUGUCAUAAUUACAGCAUUUCUGUCAGCAAUAACUGACAUGAGAUCAAACAUAUAAUUCACAAAGAGAAAGUCCUUAAGUUUAUCUUCUACAUUAACGCUAUCACUGCUGAGCUCUGAUGAAUACAGCACUCCUAGCCUUGCUUGGUUUUGAGGGAAAACCUGAGCUCUAGGUGGAGCAGGUGUUUCCAUUUAGUGCAGAGACAUCUGAUUCCUUUUGUGUUCACUUUGGCAAUGUGUUGUAUUGGGAAGCAUCCUGCUCAGUUUGGUAGCUCCUUUGAAGUCCAAUCUGUAGUGAAUAUAGGCCAUGGAGCAUAAAGAUGACCAAACUAGCAAAUCUGUGCUUUAUCACAAACAGCCAUGAUGUCAAAGAAUGUACAGCAAACUUAUGUCCUCAUUCCUGUUCUAUUUUCUCUGGAAAUAUUUUCCAUCAGUUACUGCAGUACACCUCAGCUCACAAGCCAGCAAGGAGAAUUAUAGGUCUUUCAGAACGACUCUUUGAAAGCCACAAAACUCUCAUGAAAGUUUCUAUCACAUUGAUAAACAGAAUACAAAAUAAUGUGAAAGGGCAUGCUAGUAGGCUACUUUGACUUUUGUUUUGCUAUUGUCAAUUGGAUUAAUCUGUAUUCCUUCCUUAUCUUGUUUGAUCUUUCCCAGCUACACCAUCUAAAAAUGCCAUCUGCACUUGUCCUCCUUUCCUCCCUCAGUUCUGCACCAAAGAAAAUUACGCACCAUACUACCAGCCAAGACAGCUGUAGAGCAAGCUAGCCCUGCUAUCUCUGCACAUUGCCCCUGAGGGUAGUUCUGUAUCUCAUCCAUUUACAAUACAGCAUCAUGGUCUCUGUCCUGCUCUAGGUUCCCACGUGCCAGAUGCAUUUGGCUGGUCUGACUUGCAACCUAUUGUAGGGCACAGGGCAAUGGUCUUCAUAUACCUCUUAUUAAAUGGACAAGGGUCCAUCUGUAGGUUCUCCUGCCACAGGACUGGCACAUGCUCUUCCUUUUGAGAAAGAAUUUACCUGAGAUCUCUAAGCUAGGCAGUUUGAGCAUCAUAGCUUUUAUUCUUGCCUUUGCUCUGUGAAGCAUUUUGCAGACUCUAAAUUGCAGCUUGAGUAACAGAAUAAGAAAUAAAUCAUUAUUAAUGGUACAUGCUGCCCAGCAUCAAUUUUGAAAAAUGCCCAGGUGGAAACAUACAAACCUUCCCUAAGUCUAUUUCUGCUUUCAAAGAGGCUUUUAAAUUGCCAAUUAGUCUGGAGCAGAAAAAAAUUAACCACUGGUUUCUGGACAGUUACCCAAGAGUGACUGUAGGCACUGUGGUUGGAUAUUCUGUUGUUCUGCUACAUAUACAGUGUAACUGGGAGGCAGGAGGGAAGAACAGUGCAGUGGGAGUCAGAAAAAGGAUUGAUACAGUGUUAGUUUUCUCACCUUGGAUUUCAGUCUGUAGGUAGUUUGUCCAAGCAGAAUUCUGCUCUUCAGGAGGAACCAGAGUAGGAAGUUUGGGAGCAUUCUGGGGGGAUGUCUUCUCUAAUCUCUUGCUUAGACUUGAUCCCUGAAGUUUGUUCAUUUUUGCGCUUGUUGGUGAUCAUGCGGCAUUUUGGCUGACAUCUCCAGGAAAGAGAGCUUAUAUGACUUAUCUGAAACAGUCAAAUAAAUAUUGAUAAACACAUGUACGCUUUUCUGUACGUGAUCAUAUGUAUCACCCAUGUUGCCCAGCAAAAUACUGUUAUCAACCAUGUUUCUUGCCUUUCUUAUCAUUAGAGGGCAAUGUACUGUCCCUUUUAAUGCUUCUCAGUCCACUCUGCAAAAGCAGAAAUCACAAUAAAUACAAAAGACAAAUCAAGCUGGACAUAGAGAUCUUUUCACUUAGUCUUAUUUAUUAAUUUUAAUAAGCAUGAGAUUUAUGCUGAUCAUUUUUAACUUAUUCAUGAAAGCCAUUUUCUUUCACUCCACUAUAGUUAAUAAAGACAGAUUUAUCUCCAUUAGUUCUUGGGUCGGCCUCAGCAUAAUCACGGGCAUGAAAUAACUGCAAAUGAAAUCUCAGUUCAAAUUCUCUGCAACAGUUAAACUCCUGUGCUAGCAAGCAGUUUGAGCAGCACCAUAAAGAAACCAUUUCUGUUAUAUCUUUUUCAGUGUGUUGUGAGUUCAGAUGUAUUAUUGAUGAGGGCUGCUGUUAAUAGUUUCCAUGCUCCUUUACUGUCUUCAAUAAAUCAGUAAUAUUUGCCAGAAUGUGGCAAGUACAAGACUCAGUUGUAAAGACAGAGCUGUUCAAAUUUGAAUUUGAACAUAAUGUGUCUAAUAACACAGGAUAUUAUAUGAAAGGUAUAACUUCUGGUGAUCAGUCAGGGAAAAGAAACUUUCUUAUUCAAAUUAAUUAUGAGAAAGUCAUUUUAGUAAAACGUGUAAUGUGUUUCACUGAGACGGGAAUUAUACCACAGGAAAAAGUAAGGAUUAGCCAUGUUACUGAGGAACUGUUCUUAUCCUCAGUUUCGAUUAAAUCUCCAGUCUCUGUGACAGAUAUCUCACGUGAGCGGGCACAUGAGCACAGUGAUUCCAUUAACCUGCCAUCAGGUUUCCUCAGGCUUCUUCUUAAGCCAUGAAGAGGUCUUAUUUUGCACCAAUACAGCCUCUCACACUGUACGUUCCUUUAUGUUUGGUGCAUUACUAAUCUUACUGCAUUCGUAACUGUAAAACUAGAACACAUUCAAUGAGAACAACACCAAAAAAAGGAGCUGGGUUCCAACUAGUUUUGUCCUAGAAAACUAGGGAGAAGGAUCUGAAGAUUUUUGCAGGACUUUUUGGGAAUUUUGCAGGAUUUUCAGAAUUUGAUUCACUUUAAAUACAUCUCAAUGUUGUGAAAAGGACAAAGCACUUAGUGAGAAAAAUCAUAGACGUUCAGAGCCUCUCUGGUUAUGAUGCACAUUCAAAGCAGAGGUCAGUAUAACACAGUCACAAAAACCUGGUUUGCUUUUCCUCCAUCUUUCACUUGGUGUUUUUUUUUCUUCAGGAUACUCUUACCAUCUCUUCCAAUAUUUCUCUCCGCCAUUGUUUUUGACCCCUAUCAACCAGGGGGGAAAUUGAUUUCUUUUAGAGGUUAAAGCUCCUGUAAGGCUAAGGCCAGGAAGAACCCUUAUUUCUUGAGCAAAUAAAGGGAGGUAAAUCCAUGUACAAAGCUGUGAAACAAUAAAUAGUGAAACCUGAGCGGUCCCGUGUGCUUUGAAAUCUGUGGUUUCAGGAAGAUGCAAAAUUGAAGACAAAUGGUAUAUUUCACAAAGCACUCAAGAUGCGCUUUCAGGCUCUAAGGGAAAACAAGAAUGUGUGUGUUACUUGGAGCAAGGCUGAACUCUAGUCUCAAGCUCAACAGUUGGUUAUUCUAGCAAUAAAUUCCUAGAUGAAUAAUCUUUUUGUCUCUACCUCCGCCUUAAAGCAGAAUUCAGAAAUCCUGAGACUUCAUCUCUCCCAAACCAUACAUCCAGCUAAACAGAUUUCAGGGAACUGCAGAUGAAAGGAGAGUAUCUAUAAGUCAUUAGAGUGUUAGGACAUCCUCGGUGUUUUAUGGCUUCUCAACACUAUAAAUUAGCCUCUCAGCAUUAUAGAUGAAGUCGAAAUGGCCAUAGUUUUAUGAUGGAAAAACAUUAAAGUGGAAACACUUUAGCCAGACCAAUAAGCAUAUAACAGUUUUGUGACAGCAGCCCUUUGACAUUAUCUUGCUUUUCAAGCUUGGGACCAAGCUGUCAGCAGCAGUCAAACCACACAGCUUUGUUAGCAUUUGCAGAAAGCAGAGGAGGUAGAGAUGUCGUUUCUUUAAUUUGCUCACUCUGACUGCACUGGGUGACAAUAUGCAAAAUCCAACCAUUCCUAUGUGUGACAUUAAUCUAUUCCUGUCACUUUGGCUGUCCUGUGACUGAAAAGCCAUUUGUUCAGGUCUGACAGAAGGAAUUAACAUUGUUACAGAAAAACUGAUGGAAUUCAUACCAGGACUGAUCCUGGAAGAGGCUAAACAUCCCAGAUUGCUACUGACCUCCAACGGGAGCCAGUAGAUUUACAGGUGUGCUAUUCUACAGUCUCUCUCUUGCUCUAAGCAUUAAAAUGUACCCUCUUUAAAUGCCAGACACGAUACCAUAGUAAAAAUGAAGACAGACAGGAGAGCUGUUUAAAUUGAAGUUAGUGGUUUUGCUAAAAAUGAAAGAAUUCUCUCUUUAAAAAACCUGUCAAAUUAUUAUCCCCUUCGUCUCUGCUAACAUAUGUCCUCAGCUUUCUCUCUUAGCCUGGCAAUAUUUUAACAAGCUGAUAACAAGAGGAGUGAAAAAUAAAGAUAGAACAAAAACACUUUCAAAACUGUUCUUUCCAGCACUGAAACAAGCUGUCUUCUGAAUAUACCUGAUUCAGCCUCAAAGGGUGUUUCAUGUUUGUUUGCUUUAUUUUUUAUACCUUAGCUAACAGAAAGCAUUGGAUUGGAUCCUGAUUUUAGCUUUAUUGUAUUGCUCUGCACAGACUAGGAUGUAGAAUGUAGUGAUGAGUACCUCUGAAAAAUAUAUAUACAUAAUUCCCUCUGAAAGUAAGGCCUCCUAUUUAUUUCCAUGGAAACUACAACAGAUACAAAGAGCACAAUAACACCAUUUGAUUGAGCAAAUUCUCAGCUACAAAAUACCAUUUUUCAAAAUGGUCACCACCAUUAGCUAUGCAUUUUUUCCAGCCAUGGACAAGAGCCUGCAUACCACUCUCAUAAACAUCUGCACCAGUGGAAAUGGUCCACUGUCACCGUUAGCACUGCUGGAACACAACACCCACUCCUCACUGCACUCACAUUCACUGUUUGGUCCCCAUGAACAUUCAGCAAGUGUCAAUGAAUGUCAGGGGGUGCCAUUUUUUCCACAUCGAUGAAUUCAUUUACACCCCUUUGCUUUAUCUGCACUCCCACAUUAGAUGUCAUUUUGCCAGACUGCCCCUCUGCUGCCAUCUGUCACACAGCAACAACAUAGAACGGUAUAUUGGUGGGAAGAUUAAACAUCUACCGCCACAUCACCAAAAGCUGGCUCUGACCUUGUGGACCAACAUGAUAAAACAAGUGGCAUUACAUUUGGAGCAGCUGAAACACAGAUUUUAUUUAUUUUUCCUGCUUUGCUUUAAUUCCCAGGAGAAAAAGUAUUGUGCCUUUGGGGAUAUUUCAUCAUGUCACAAAAUAAUGCUUUAUCAAAAUGCUGAAGUCUCUACAUCAUAAAAGCUCAUAAAGUAGUAUUUCCAAACAUGUUGAGCUUUACCUUUUUAUUAAAAAAAAAAAAUUCUUUUCCAGUUUUGGGAAACCUAAUAUUUUACAGGACUGCCUUUCCCUGUCUGUCUACUCCUCCUGGGCUGAAGUCAUCUAUGGUACAGUUGUUACUUCCAUAUAUUACUGAAGUAAGCAUGCACAUAGGCACUCAGACAAUCUUCUGGUGCAGAUCUAAAAUCUCCUGAACAUUUGAGUAAGUACAUUGAUUCAUAUGCAUUCAAGAUGUUGUAGUUCUGUUAUCAAUUGUAUCUUCAAUAUAUAAUUUAAUUUUCUUGCUCUGUAUUUCCUGAACAGGUUACAGAUAGAGAUUUUAACAUUCUCCUCAUACAGAUCUUCCCACUAGGCUUCAAUACCACCCGUUAAAUCAAAUCUUUUCUCAUCAAUUAGAACUACUGGUUCCCUGAGCUCAUUAGUCAGUCUUCUAGCCUGGGUAAAAAUGUAGUGAAAAAUGUCUUGCCUUCCCUUUCCUUCCCAUAUCAGACCACUCUGUUUUUUAAUUUAAGUGGUUACUACCUUGACUAUUCUUACACCCCUGUUUCAUGUUGCUACUUACCUUCCUGCUUAUCCAAGCUAGUCUCUAGCUUAGAAAAUUAGCUCCCUUCCCAUAAGAUACAGCCUGUUCUGGACAAAUGGCACCAAUUCCCAGUAAACUAUCAUAAAGUUUGGUGCUCCAGAAAAUCAAAAUCUUCUCUUUCCUACCAGUCAGCUGUACAGCCUCUCAUCCCUAAGAUUCUCUCUCCUCUGUUGCUUGUAAAGGCAGAAAAAUAAUUUGAACUUUCUUUUGCCACUCUUUUAUAGCUCCCACAUCUUCACUAUCGGUACUGUUCCACAUAGUUUUUGUUCCAAUCUGUACUGUCAGCAGAGCAAGGUUUGCCCUGAUCAAUCAUCCCACCCAGCAUUACUGUUACAUUUCCAUAUUUUUGAACAAAGAAUAAUUUAAUUUGCAAGAGACCCCUGGGUGCCACCCCUCCAGCCUCUGCUCAUGGUGGACCUUUACAUCUACUGCUGCUUUGUUUGAUUUCUGCAGGGCACUGACUAUGCCUUGUGGACCAGAGUCUUUACAGAAUCAAACCUUAGGAGCUACAGCUCUUCCCAUUAGCACCUGUGAGGCACUGUGUCCUGAGGAAAUGAUUAGAUAUGAUCUCUCAUUGAGAGCCUGAAAACCUCUGCAUUAUCAGAAAAGGAGAUUUUAUUGGACACUUAAAAAAAAAUCCUUUUCACAUAGCUCUGCACUGGUACAUCAGCUACAGUAAAAUUAAACUGUAAAAAAGGUGAGCAAGAGCUAAUAGAGAUAAAAGGUUAUAGUUGGAUUUCUGAACAUUAUAGCUCUGCUGUGACUUUACUAUCUGUCCUUGUUUAUAGAAGGACAGAAAAUGACCAAAAUAAUUAAAGUUAGCAAUGGCCCUGUCAUGAAGCAGGGAUCAGCCUGUGUACAGAAAUGAUGUACCACUGACUGCAAUAAAGACCUUAUCUAUAUUCUAUGAUUUAAAAGUUUAAUUAAAAACGGAGGCCAGAAUCACCCUGAGCGUUAUGCCGGGUUUCACUAAAUGGAUUUAAGAAUCACAUACAUAGAAAGACCUGCACAACGGAGCAGAGAUAAGGCUAGAACUUAGUGCUGCAUUACUGAUAGCCCAGAGAGAGAGAGCCAGAACUAAUUUUGGUGUAACAACUGCCCUCACAUUAAUAGUUCUAGAUUCUUCUGUUGUUUUGAAAGCAGUAACAAGAUGUGCUGCACUUGUCUUCCAUCUCGCAUCUUGAGUUUUUCAGCAAGUCUUGCAACUUAUUUAUAGGUUUUUCAACUCCACAUUUCACCUCACCUCUAGACAAACACUUGUAUAUUAUUACCAAAUUCAUUCACCCAUUAUUUCUUCACAUCGAAAUCAAUUGUACCUCUUCAGAGCUAUUCGUUAUAGCAGGUGCUUUAGUGUUAGGCUACUACAGGAAGCAGUACUACACUCAGUUUUGCCACAAAAACAUGCUUUAACAAUGAACUUGUGUAAGGUCAUGCACUAGUUGGUGUUUGCAGUUCUUAGAAUUUCUUGAUAAUAAACACAGCAUCUGGGGACUAAUGACUUCAGCUGUCUGUUUAUCUGUCUAUGCUACAAACAAGCAACAAAAACAUGAAGUACAGAGAAACAAAACACAGCUUAUAUAGAAACACACACUAAGUUUCACAAACAGGACUGUAUCUGAGAGCUGCCUACCUUUCCCAUCCAUUUCUUCUAAAUUGCUGAAUUUCUGAAAUUCUCCUCUUAAGCCAAAAUGAAGUGAUUAAUGAAAGCAUUUCAGAAAUUAAAGAUGGCCAACAGCAAGUUAGGAAAGACCUGAGAACUUUUUGAAAGUUCAGAAUGUUUCUGAGAAGGAAAUAAAGUGGCAUAUGGAUUUUUUUCUCAGAAAGGCCUGGGUGAGAGCCUGCAGAGAAAGAUAAUAUCAUCGUUGUUGAGACAGUGUGAAAAAUCAUCCUGACUGAUUGGUGAACUCAACUGUAGUACCCAUCUGAGACAGAAAGUACACGAUUAAGAAUUAUCUGUCUCUUCAGUAACGGAAGCUACUGGAAUACUGCAAUGCUAUCAUUUUCUGCCUCACCUUGCUGGAUGAUCUGAAAAUCACCUUAAUCAAAUCCACGAGUCUUUUCAUUGAAGUGAUUUAUGGUGUGAACACAGGAUAAUUAAAACAGCUACUUAGAUUUGGAAAGGGCUAGUAGUACGUUCUGGAAGCGCAGGGGUCCUCUUAGAAAAGCAAAACUUUCCUAAGGAGUAAGGAUCCAGUUCAUAGAGCAAAUGCUCCCAUGAACAAGGAACCUAGAACAUCACUGAAAUCUUCACCUUCUCUAAGGUCAAGGCAGAUAUCCUUCUGUUUUUAUGUACAUGUAAAAAUCUACCCCAACAAAAAUUGUAUCAAAAUAAAGCACCUUUUUGAGCACAUUACACUCCCUACAGGGAGCAUCAGAAGACAAACAAAUGACAGAUGGUACUUAAGCUGCUUAAUGCACUGAUGAAUGGUACUCAAAUACGGAGGUGAUAAACGUGGUGGGAGAGGCUAUACAGAGAAAAACAGCUAGAAAAUAUUACGCCAGGGUUAUACAAUAAUGUUCUGACAAUGUGAAGGAAGUCUGCAGAUGGCCUCUCCCUCCUGCAUAAUUAGGAGAUGGAGGCAAGUCUGGAACAUGAAGGAGAAGAGGUCGAGAGGUCCCGUAAUACAGUGCUGGUUUCCAUGAAAAUAAAGAGGAGGCAUUACUUUUGGAGAGAACUACGUAAGUAUACACGCAUAUAAAUGUACACAUUAUGUUUUUACACACAAACACCCUCAGCAUUAAGCACCUCUUCACUGAGGCUCUGAACAGGUGGCUAGAAAGACAUGUAAUAAGACCUUCAAGUCCCAUAAGCCCCCACAAUAGCUUUUUGAUACUAUUUCAAAUCAGUUAUGAACUAACCAGUCAUCAGAGCUGAGCUUUUAAAAAGAUAACUAACUCUGCAUAAAUGGCAUAUAUUUAAUAGUCUGCUAAAACAUAGUUUAAAAUAUUCUACUCAGUUUUAUGAUUGCUUUCUUCUGUCCAAGAUAUAAGAAAGAAGUGCCUUUACGUAACGUAGGAUUUUGCCUAGAUUCCCAAGAAUACCAGAGAGUCUGUCUCUUCCACUGGCCUGCCUAAUCCCAGAACAGCUCUUUUUUUGUUGUUUUUGUUCAUUAAGAAUUUCAAAAUCUUGCACGGAAAUGGACUAUUUUGUAGACUUAAUUUUUAGUUAUGUUCCUGAAAAGCAAGGUAAUCAAUGACUAGCUAUCAAAAUUAACUAGGAGGAAACAGUAACCUUGCUUACAGACCCCAUGUGUGACUAAGAAUUGGUUCUUCCAUCAACACUCUUGGGGCAGCUUGAACUCAAUAUGUUAACAAAGACUGAGCACAUUUCUCAGUAUGUUCAGGUUUGCUGUUCAAACUCAGCCUUACGCGCAAGGGAAAGUAAUUUCAUGAGAACGUUUGCGUGAGAAUUAGUCACAAAAUUUGAAAUGCUGUGCAAAAAGCUUCUCUGCACUCAUGGUAUUCUGGCAUGGAAGUAAUGGCCUGUUUUCGGUCGCUCUAACUACUUUUUGGACCACUUGCCCAGCUCUCAUUUUUUUCCAAAGCAGGGUGAAGUAACAAUAACAGUAAUAAGUCUGUUCAGCUAACAUGUCCAGGUUCAAACAGCCAUUAAUAAAUGCAUUGCUGCCUAUCAGACCGCAUUCUGCAGGUGUCCCAUAUUAUGGGCUGCAGUUGCUCCCCAGUUGUAUGUUUUGGAAUUAGACUCUCUUCUGUACCAGUGUAACUAACUGGACAGGCAGAAGGCCAGUAGUUUUAUCUUACAUUUUCGAGUCAACAGAAAUGGCAAAUACCUUUUCAUCAACAAAAAUAUAUUUUGGAGAUGAGGAUUGGCUCUCUCAUACACUUUACUUGAGACAAAACCCACCAGUCAUGUGGUCCCUUGUACCUCCUGGAAGGUGUCAUGCUUGCAAGGUGCUUCAAAUCUUCUGGCAGAGCUGGGUGGUGGAGGAGGUAAGGCACUCUAAGCCAUCUCUGACCAGGGAACAGUCAAAGAGUCACAUUUUCUGUAGUCCUGAAGGUCCUGUGCAGGUUUUCCUCAGGAUACUCUGGAAAUCUGAGUGAGCAGAUGGGAGGAAGAGGAGGAAUUAACUUCUUCUCUGGAACUACUGACACCUUUUCAAAUGCAAGCAAG
ensembl:lncRNA